ACGUGGCAUUCUUGCCAUUGAUGAAUCGAAUGCAACUUGUGGGAAGAGACUGGCAUCAAUUGGCUUAGAUAACACUGAGAACAAUCGUCAGAUGUAUAGGCAGCUCUUACUGACAACUCCUGGUCUUGGCGAACACAUUUCUAGUGUCAUUCUGUUUGAGGAAACACUCUACCAGUCUACAACGGAUGGCAAGAAAUUGUCGACUGCUUACUUGAUGAGAAUGUCGUGCCUGUCAUCAAGGUCGACAAGAUGUUGGUUCCUCUGCCAGGCUCAAACAAUGAAUCUUGGUGCCAAGGGUUAGAUGGCCUGGCUUCAAGGUCUGCUGAGUAUUAUAAUCAGGGUGCUCGAUUUGCAAAAUGGCGUAUUCCAUGUGAACCUUUUGCUUUGGCAGUUAAGGAAGCUGCUUGGGGAAUCGCUCGUUAUGAUGCUAUCUCUCAGGUUCAUACUAAGCUUUCUUUGCUUUAUGUUCCAUUCUCCAUGCUUCAGUUUGAGGUGGAAGUGGUGGCCUGGUGGGUGGUGAAUUGGUGAUGGUCUGAUGGUAUAUGGUAUAUGUCUUUGUUCAACCUUUUGGAUCUAUUAUUCUAUAUCUGGCGUAUCAACUAGCUUCAAGACUAAACAACCUACAUACAAACUUUUCAACCUGUACUGAAGAAUGGAUCAGUUGCUUUCAGGCUGCCACUAUGCUCCCUGAAUUCUGCUUAAAUUGAAAUUAACCAUCAUGGACUCAAUUAUUAUGCAAAAUUGACAUGGACACCAUUGGAAAGGGGUUUAGGUGCCAAAGUAUACAGUUAAGAUGAUACAGCUUAAGAAAUAGUAGUUUGGCAAGUUUAGAGAUGUAGAGAAAUCACCAAUUCUUCUUCCCACCACGCUUCCCAACUCUCCUCACCCUUAACACCAAUUCCACCUCUAUAAAGAAGCCAAUCUGUCCAAUCACUGAAGUCUUCCACAGUCCUAGACAUAACAAAUGGAAACAUGAAUUAGUAUAAUUAAAUUAAGCAAAGUUGUUGAUGUCCACAAAAGCUAGAUAGCUUUUAAGUCACAAACCCCCCAACUUACUUUUGCCACUCGAAACCGGAUGGAUUGAACAGGUAGGGAGCAAAUAGCCAAGAGAGGGCCAUAAACCAACUGCUGAUAGAAAGCAGAAUGUAGCCUAUCGCACCACCAUCAUUAUAGCCAUAAGCAAGAAAAACAAUCAACAAAAGCACAACUUCAAGCCUGCAAUGAGAAAGCCAUACAGCUCAAAGACUGUUCAAGACACUAUACGAGCAACAUGACAAGGAGAAAAGGAUAUACCCUUUGACAAAAUGACUCCGGGAAUAAAGCCUGUAGUUUUCGCUCAACUUUAUA